rnacentral:rRNA from 1 species
AUUGAACGCUGGCGGCAGGCCUAACACAUGCAAGUCGAACGGUAACAGAAAGCAGCUUGCUGCUUUGCUGACGAGUGGCGGACGGGUGAGUAAUGUCUGGGAAACUGCCCGAUGGAGGGGGAUAACUACUGGAAACGGUAGCUAAUACCGCAUAACGUCGCAAGACCAAAGAGGGGGACCUUCGGGCCUCUUGCCAUCGGAUGUGCCCAGAUGGGAUUAGCUAGUAGGUGGGGUAACGGCUCACCUAGGCGACGAUCCCUAGCUGGUCUGAGAGGAUGACCAGCCACACUGGAACUGAGACACGGUCCAGACUCCUACGGGAGGCAGCAGUGGGGAAUAUUGCACAAUGGGCGCAAGCCUGAUGCAGCCAUGCCGCGUGUAUGAAGAAGGCCUUCGGGUUGUAAAGUACUUUCAGCGGGGAGGAAGGGAGUAAAGUUAAUACCUUUGCUCAUU